CCCCGUGUAGCUCAGUUGGUAGAGCAUGGUGUUUGCAACGCCAGGGUUGUGGGUUCGUUUCCCACGGGGG
rnacentral:tRNA from 1 species